GUUCUUUGGUGGACUUUUGGAUGAAGGCUGAGGUCUUAUUUUCCUUUGACAUGGGUCAGGUUGGAGACUCUUGGCUGGCUCUGGUUGGUCAUCUUAUUGUCUACAACAAGUAAACAAGUGUGAGUAAAACCCGGGGUAAAGUGUGAGUAAAAUCCGGAGUAAGGUGUGACUAAACCCAGAGUAAAUUGUGUGUAAACCUGGAAUAAAGUGUGUGUAAAACCUGAGUAAAGGUUGAGUAAACCUGGAGUAAAGGGGGAGUAAAACUAGAGAAAAAUGUGAGUAAAACCUGGAGUAAGGUGUGACUAAACCCAGAGUAAAUUGUGUGUAAACCUGGAAUAAAGUGUGUGUAAAACCGGAGUAAAGGUUGAGUAAACCUGGAGUAAAGGGUGAGUAAAACUAGAGAAAAGUGGGAGUAGACCCAAAGUAAAGGGUGUGUAAGCCCGGAGUAAGUAGUGAGCAAAGCUGAAGUAAUUUCUGAGUAAACACAAAGUAAAGUUGUGAGUAAAACAAAUGGUGUACAUUGUUAGGAAACACGGAGUAAAGUGUGAGUAAACCCAGAGAAAAGUAUGAGUACACCUGGACAGCAGUCUGAGUAAACCCAGAUUAAAGGGUUGGUAAAGGUAGAGUAAAGCGCGAGUAAUACCCAGAGUAAGGUGUGACUAAACCCAAAGUAAAGUGUGAGUAAACCUGGAGUAAAGAGUGCGUAACCAUGAAGUAAAGAGUGAGUAAACCUGGAGUAAAGAGUGAACAAAGCUUGGAGAAAACAUGGAGUAAAAUAUGUGUAAACCGUGGUGUAGAAUGUGAGUAAAACCUGAUGUAAAGUGUGAGUAAAGCUAGAGAAAAGUGUGAGAAAACCCAAAGUAAAGGGUGUGUAAGCCCAUAGUAAAUAAUGAGGAAACCUGAUGUAAAUUGUGAGUAAACCCAAAGUAAACUUGAGGGUAAAACCUGGAGCAUAUUGUUAGGAACCCCGGAGUAAAUUGUGAGUAAAGCCCUGAGUAAAGUGAGAGUAAAACCAGAGAAAAGUAUGAGUACACCUGGAUUGAAGUGUGUGUAAGCCCGGAGUAAAGGGUUAGUAAAGCUUGAAUAAAGCGUGAGUAAUACCCUGAGUAAGGUGUGUGUACACCAGAAGUAAAGUGUGAUUAAACUCAGAGUAAAGUGUACAUAACCUUGAAGUAAAGAGUGAGUAAACCUAGAGUAAAGAGGGAACAAAGCUUGGAGAAAACUGUGAGGAAACAUGGAAUAAAGUAUGUGUAAACAGUGGUGUAGAAUGUGAGUAAAACCUGAUGUAAAAUGUGAGUAAAGCUAGAGAAAAGUGUGAGUAAAACCAAAGUAAAGGGUGUGUAAGCCCGGAGUAAAUAAUGAGGAAACCUGGUGUAAAUUGUGAGUAAACCCAAAGUAAACGUGAGGGUAAAACCUGGAGCAUAUUGUUAGGAACCCCGGAGUAAAUUGUGAGUUAAUCCCUGAGUAAAGUGAGAGUAAACCCACAGAAAAGUAUGAAUGAACCUGGAUUGGAAUGUGUGUAAACUCGGAGUAAAGGGAGUGUAAAGCUAGAGUAAAGUGUGAGUAAUGCCCAGAGUAAUGUGUGACUAAACCCAAAGAAAAUUGUGAGAUAACCCAGAGUAAAGUGUGCGUAACCAUGAAGUAAAUAGUGAGUAAACCUGGAGUAAAGAGUGAACAAAGCUUGGAGAAAGCUGUGAGGAAACAUGGAGUAAAAUAUGUGUAAACCCUGGUGUAGAAUGUGAGCAAAACCUGAUGUAAACUGUGAGUAAAGCUAGAGGAAAGUGUGAGUAAACCCAAAGUAAAGGGUGUGUAAGCCCGGAGUAAAUAAUGAGGAAACCUGGUGUAUAUUGUGAGUAAACCCAAAGUAACCUUGAUGGUAAAACCUAAAGCAUAUUGUUAGGAACCCCGGAGUAAAUUGUGAGUAAAGCCCUGAGUAAAGUGACAGUAAACCCAGAGAAAAGUGUGAGUAGACCUUUGCUACUGCAAAGCCCGUGGGCCCUCGGUGCGCAGGGACACUGCUCUCCUCUCAUCCACCCAGCCUGUGAUGCCAUCAUAGAAGGCUACCAGGUUGCUCAAGCACUAUUACCUCUUGGUGAGUCCAUGCUGACUCCUCCUCAUAUCCUUCUUCUCUUCCAUUUGCUUGGAGAUGGAAGCCACAAUAGGCUGUUCCAUCCCCUUCCUAGGGACAGAGCUGAGACUGACUGGCCUGGAGUUUCCCACAUCCUCCUUCUUGCCCUUUCUGAAGACCAGACUGACACUGGCUAUCCUCCAGUCUUCGGGCACCUCUCCUAAUCUCCAAGGC
ensembl:lncRNA